rnacentral:tRNA from 1 species
CCAUGGCUCAGCUGGUAGAGCAACGCAUUCGUAAUGCGUAGGUCAGGGGUUCGAAUCCCCUUG